rnacentral:misc_RNA from 1 species
GUUGUCUUUUGAUGUGUGCUCAUAUGCAUUCACAGACUGUACAUACAUAUAGAUAAUUUAGUCAAUGCUUUCAGCUGAAAAUGCUGGAAUUAGAUUUUGGUGCUUGAAAACAUUUUGCAUGAAUUUUCUGAGUGAUGACAUGAAUAAAAUACUUCAUUAGCGUCUGAGAUUGUUUUAGUAAUUUGAUUUUUGAAAUUGAGAUAUUAGAAUGUUGUGGUGAUAGUGUAUUGGUGCUUAUAAUAUCUUGCAGACGCAAUAUACUUGAGAAGAAG